GAUGGACGCUGGCGGCGUGCCUAAUACAUGCAAGUCGAGCGAAUGGAUUAAGAGCUUGCUCUUAUGAAGUUAGCGGCGGACGGGUGAGUAACACGUGGGUAACCUGCCCAUAAGACUGGGAUAACUCCGGGAAACCGGGGCUAAUACCGGAUAACAUUUUGAACCGCAUGGUUCGAACUUGAAAGGCGGCUUCGGCUGUCACUUAUGGGUGGACCCGCGUCGCAUUAGCUAGUUGGUGAGGUAACGGCUCACCAAGGCAACGAUGCGUAGCCGACCUGAGAGGGUGAUCGGCCAAACGGGGACUGAGACACGGCCCAGACUCCUACGGGAGGCAGCAGUAGGGAACCUUCCGCAAUGGACGAAAGUCUGACGGAGCAACGCCGCGUGAGUGAUGAAGGCUUUCGGGUCGUAAAACUCUGUUGUUAGGGAAGAACAAGUGCUAGUUGAAUAAGCUGGCACCUUGACGGUACCUAACCAGAAAGCCACGGCUAACUACGUGCCAGCAGCCGCCGUAA
rnacentral:rRNA from 1 species